UACGUAGGUGGCAAGCGUUGUCCGGAAUUAUUGGGCGUAAAGCGCGCGCAGGCGGUCCUUUAAGUCUGAUGUGAAAGCCCACGGCUCAACCGUGGAGGGUCAUUGGAAACUGGGGGACUUGAGUACAGAAGAGGAAAGCGGAAUUCCACGUGUAGCGGUGAAAUGCGUAGAGAUGUGGAGGAACACCAGUGGCGAAGGCGGCUUUCUGGCCUGUAACUGACGCUGAGGCGCGAAAGCGUGGGGAGCAAACAGG
rnacentral:rRNA from 1 species